AAAAGGCCAUUGCAUUGAGGAGGAAGACUGCCGAAGAUCCUGAAUUGCAACAGUAUGCUCGUGCACACUGUAUCUCUUAGUUAUUUGUCCUUGCAACUCAUAGUCACACAUCUGCUUUUUUUUGUUUUUUUGUAGUAAGACUUUGAUACAUUUCAGCCUCCUUUGUGACUUUAGUGGCGAGGACCUCCUAGCUACCUUCGCUGAUGAUGCACAAGGCGAGUCGGGGAUCAUAG
rnacentral:lncRNA from 1 species